ACCUAUGUAGAGAGAGAAAAUAAAGCGUUCUGCACAAGAAGUCGAGAGCAGCGUGACGUCCGCUGUGGCGUGACCCUGCUGCAUUAGAGGGAAGUGCACAUGGAUUAACCUUCAGGCAGCAUCUGGCUGGCCCUGCUCGGCCACCCAGAGACACGUCUUUUACUUCGCAGGUGGCCCCGGGCACUGGCCCCAGUGAGUGGAUCUCAGAGAAGAACCUGCCUUGAACUCAGCACACUGCAGCCUGUAUCAGUCACUGUGCUUUGAAGCCCAGGGCAGCAUGCUUGGGAGCAGUGAGGGAGGCAGGGGAGAACAUGGAGUGCUGCUCUGUCACCUCUGAAAGACUCGUCAGCCCCUCAGGCCUCCAGUGCACUGACUCUGGCAUGCAGACAUCUGCCUGCCACAGGACCUUUGCAUCAGAUCUUCUCUGCCCCAAACGCAAGCUUCCAGAUGCUUGCCUGGCCGCUUCUCCUCUCCCUGUCCCUGGUCCAAUGUCUUCAGGAUCCGUUCCUGUCCACCAUCCUCUCUUGGGCCGGGUCUUUACACCAGCACCUAUCACUUCUCCUGCACACGUAGGGCCUGGCUGUGUGCCCAGCCCGCUGGCCAGUGGCUCCCCCACCCCACCCUGUGCAGUGGGCACUGAGCCCUGCGGGAGCUGAGCACCAAUGGCAAGGCCGGCUGUGCUGAACACCGUGUGGCAGUCCUGCCCCAGCCCGUGUCCACCAUGUGACAGCCCGCGGACCGAGGGCUCCUGUCCCCCAGGCUCCUCCCCUUGUGUCUUGGGUAGAAGCCCACAGCAGGAGAGAUGAGCUGCUGUGCUGCAUCACCUAGGAACGGUUCACACCAGCAGAAGUGGCUGACUUCAGUACAGCUGGUAGGUAGCUCCUGCUGUCUCACUGCACUCCACAGGAUUCUGCACCAGCACUGCACACCACGCGUCCUGGUGCUCGUCCCGAGCUGAAGUGCUUCCCAGGUCCCCCCUUCUCUGUGCUCCCAGAGGACUUGCUCUGUGAUGCUCCAGGGGCACCUUUGCCUUCUCAAAUUGGUUUUUGUUUUCAUUUCUCUAGUAUAUAGUUAACAAUGAAUUGUGGUCUCUCUCUCUUGGCUGGGUCCUAAUAAAAUCUAGCAAUACCA